GAUCCUGGCUCAGGAUGAACGCUGGCGGCGUGCUUAACACAUGCAAGUCGAACGAGAAAGCACCUUCGGGUGUGAGUAGAGUGGCGAACGGGUGAGUAACACGUGAGCAACCUGCCUCUCACUUCGGAAUAACUCAGGGAAACCUGUGCUAAUACCGGAUACUCCGUACAUUCCGCAUGCUAUGUACGGGAAAGCCUUGUGCGGUGAGAGAUGGGCUCGCGGCCCAUUAGGUAGUUGGG
rnacentral:rRNA from 1 species